rnacentral:rRNA from 1 species
GGUUAAGCGACUAAGCGUACACGGUGGAUGCCCUGGCAGUCAGAGGCGAUGAAGGACGUGCUAAUCUGCGAUAAGCGCCGGUAAGGUGAUAUGAACCGUUAUAACCGGCGAUUUCCGAAUGGGGAAACCCAGUGUGACUCGUCACACUAUCAUUAACUGAAUCCAUAGGUUAAUGAGGCGAACCGGGGGAACUGAAACAUCUAAGUACCCCGAGGAAAAGAAAUCAACCGAGAUUCCCCCAGUAGCGGCGAGCGAACGGGGAGGAGCCCAGAGCCUGAAUCAGCAUGUGUGUUAGUGGAAGCGUCUGGAAAGGCGCGCGAUACAGGGUGACAGCCCCGUACACAAAAGCGCAUGUGCUGUGAGCUCGAUGAGUAGGGCGGGACACGUGGUAUCCUGUCUGAAUAUGGGGGGACCAUCCUCCAAGGCUAAAUACUCCUGACUGACCGAUAGUGAACCAGUACCGUGAGGGAAAGGCGAAAAGAACCCCGGCGAGGGGAGUGAAAAAGAACCUGAAACCGUGUACGUACAAGCAGUGGGAGCCCCACCACUAAGCCAGUGGUGAACUCCACAUACGCAUCCUUUGCUGAGGAUACGGUUAACGGAGCGAAAGCGACGUUCAACCGCAAAAGAAGCAGAGGGGGCUUAGUGGUGGGGUGACUGCGUACCUUUUGUAUAAUGGGUCAGCGACUUAUAUUCUGUAGCAAGGUUAACCGAAUAGGGGAGCCGUAGGGAAACCGAGUCUUAAC